rnacentral:rRNA from 1 species
GACGAACGCUGGCGGCGUGCUUAACACAUGCAAGUCGAACGGAAAGGCCCUGCUUGCAGGGUACUCGAGUGGCGAACGGGUGAGUAACACGUGGGUGAUCUGCCCUGCACUUCGGGAUAAGCCUGGGAAACUGGGUCUAAUACCGGAUAGGAGCCAUUUUUAGUGUGAUGGUUGGAAAGUUUUUUCGGUGUAGGAUGAGCUCGCGGCCUAUCAGCUUGUUGGUGGGGUAAUGGCCUACCAAGGCGGCGACGGGUAGCCGGCCUGAGAGGGUGGACGGCCACAUUGGGACUGAGAUACGGCCCAGACUCCUACGGGAGGCAGCAGUGGGGAAGAUUGCACAAGGGGCGCAAGCCUGAUGCAGCGACGCCGCGGGGGGGAUGACGGCCUUCGGGUUGUAAACUCCUUUCGCUAGGGACGAAGCUUUUUGUGACGGUACCUAGAUAAGAAGCACCGGCUAACUACGUG